AGAAAACUAAGUUAAUAGACUAUCUCGCUUCAAACGGGACAGUAGGGAUAAAAGAGCCCUGUUUUCUG
rnacentral:tRNA from 1 species